GUUUAAUGAUGAAAUCUGUAGAACCAACUCUGAAACUUGUGUUGAAUAAUCAAAAUACGAGCUUUUUAACUCUGAAAACC
rnacentral:snoRNA from 1 species